ACGACGACGACGACGACGACAACGACAACGAGGACGAGGAGGACGUCUAUCCACCAGGAAGAGCUUAUUAGAAGAUGUUAGGUCAUCAAAGCAUGCCCUUGAAGAGGUUAUUGGAAUUCCAAAUGCCCCUUUCUUUGCUUUCCAGGCAACUUGAACAGGCUUCCUCUGCCACAUGCUUCUAAUGAAUCACCUCACCACAGGUCCCAAAGCACUAAGACCAUGGUCAUGGAGUGAGUGACAAGUUAAAACAAACCUAUCUUUCUUAAUUAUGAACAUAUGUUGAUUCCCCUUAGAUAGGCACCGAUGACAGAACAAAGGAACAAUUCUAUCCAAGUUGAGCUCAAAACCAUGAAGGUUUUGGAGUUACUUAACAGGAGUAUGGGUAACUGUAUUAGCACAAAUGGUGCCUCCUGGGGGCUCCCUGCCUAAGCUGCUCUUUGCUGCUUUCACAAUGCUAGGAGUGGGGCUUGUGAAUCUCUUAACUUGUAUAUGCUUCAUGAGCCUGGCGAAUUCUCUAUAGCUUCUGGAGUCUUCUGGGUUUCCUUCCUCUCACCAAUAGGCAAUGUUUCAAUUCAGACGAAAGAGUGACAUAAUAGUUUCAUACACACACACACACACACACACACACACACACACAUAUGUAAUUGUGUAUAAUAGUCACACACACAUAUUCCAUUAUCCUCUAUUGUACCUUUCUCUCCAUCUCUAUAAACUUUUUCCUUCUCACAGAUCCUUUCUGCUUUUCUCUCUCUCUCUCUCUCUCUCUCUCUCUCUCUCUCUCUCUCACACACACACACACACACACACACACACACAAACUCACAAACUUAACAGUCUUAUGACUCCUGAAAAGUCUUAAUUUCAUUCUUUACAGUUGAAUAAAAUUCAGUUGUGUAAUGC
rnacentral:lncRNA from 1 species